CGAUGGCUCAGUUGGUAGAGCGACGCACUCGUAAUGCGUAGGUCGAGGGUUCGAGUCCCUUUCG
rnacentral:tRNA from 2 species